UACGAAGGGGGCUAGCGUUGCUCGGAAUCACUGGGCGUAAAGCGCACGUAGGCGGCUUUUUAAGUCAGGGGUGAAAUCCUGGAGCUCAACUCCAGAACUGCCUUUGAUACUGAGGAUCUUGAGUUCGGGAGAGGUGAGUGGAACUGCGAGUGUAGAGGUGAAAUUCGUAGAUAUUCGCAAGAACACCAGUGGCGAAGGCGACUUACUGGACACAUAUUGACGCUGAGGUGCGAAAGCGUGGGGAGCAAACAGG
rnacentral:rRNA from 1 species